AGUCCACCGUUCUCUAAAAAAAAGUCCAUCGAUUAGAUCAGGAGAAGAACCGGCAGCGCCCUUACCCUGAUCCCAGUUCUCUUCACACCGCACGCGGCGCUAGCCGCCAACCGCUAGAAAGCCAUGGCCAGGGCAGGGCUGCUGCUGUCGCCUGAUCGGCGAUCGAUCACAGUAGCGUGGCGUGAUGGCGGCGGUGCUGACGGCAUGACGAAUCCAUCUCCAUCCCUGUUCCCUCGCCCCCUUUUGGUUCUGAACUUUUGGACCCCGCAAUCUGUAGCGGGUAGGCCACACCCGGAUAGCUCGCAGAUUCAACUAUGGAAGUCUACAGGCAGCUAGACAUGGACACGGUUGGUCAAGAAAAACUUGAAUGAUUGCUUGGUUCCCUUUCAUCUUCUUGCAAGUUAAUGAUGAGGACAACAUCACUCAUUAUCAAAGCAUCAAGGAUCGCACAAUUGUCCUGUAAUUUGUAAGCUUUCUUAUCGCUUAUCAUUUGCUAUUUAUCAAUUUGUAAGGUUUAUUAUCAUUUGCUAUUUUCUAUCUUCUAUAUAUAUCUUAGAUUUUGCCACAUAGUGUUGAACAAUUAUUACUUCUAUAUGUUGAACAUUUCCAAGGCUAUGGACACUUUUUUAUGCAUGUAAUAUAUUUUAUAUAUUUUAAAACUAGUAUAAUAUGCUAAUAAAAUCGGUUAUAUGCGCUAAAAGAAAGGCUAUAGGUUUCCAAAAACAUGUUUUGAAAUUUUGAAUACACAAUGUUGAAAUCCUGGGCCCGCCCCUGGUUGACCCGUUUAGUCUAGCCAUCAGUUUGUGGGUGGUAAGCAGUUGACAUCUGUAGUUUAGUGCCCCACAGUUUGAACAACUGCUUUCCAGAAAUUACUUAUGAAGAUCUUGUCUCUGUCUGAAGUAAUGGUGUAGGGCAUACCAUGUAGUUUUACCACUUGCUGCAGGAAGAUAUGAGCAAUCUGAGCUGCUGUAUAUGGGUGUUUAAGGGGUAUAAAGUGACUGUACUUGGCGUAUCUGUCUACAACCACCAGGAUGCAAGAAGAUCCAUUUGAUUUUGGAAGGUCCUCAAUAAACUCCAUGGAAAUAUCCUCCCAAGGGCCCCUAGGUAUUGUUUUGAUUCCUGCCCAAUGAAAUAGCUUCUUGAUUUUCUAGUAAGUAGCCAAGCUACCGGAAUGCCCUCCUACAGGGGAAGAGUGCAGCGCUUCGAUGAUCUCAGUUACCUUGCAUUGGCCCCCACCCAAAUUCUUCCUUGAUGUUUUAAUAGACCAUUCUCCAAAGAAUAUUCAGGUUCUUCUUCCGGAUUGGCAGUUAACUUCUGCAGAAGUUGUUGAGCUUGAGUCUCAGUGUCAUAGGAAUUGAGGAUUCCUUGAAUCCAAACAGGUUGAGAAGUAGACACAGCAGGCAAAACAAGUAUAUGUCCUAUUCUGGAAAGUGAAUCUGUAACUUUAUUCUCAGGACCUCUUUUAUACUGAAAAGAAAAUUGCAAUCCCACUAGCUUGGUCAUUGCUUUUCUCCAAAGAUUCGAAGUGAGUUCCUGUGUACCUAACUGGCAUAGGCUCUUGUUGUAUGUUUUGAUGACAAAAGGACCUCUGGAAAUAUAUUAUCUCCAUCUCUCAAUGGCCAUAAUAAUUGCCAUGAACGCCUUCUCAUAUAUACUCAAUUUCUGGUUAGUUGGCCCUAAAGCUUUGCUGUAAUAAGCCACAAGAUGCCCCCCUGUGUUAACACGACUCGCCAUUAUCACAAGCAUCUGUUUCUAUGCAAAAGUAUUUUGCAAAAUCUGGCAAUGCUAGGACUGGGGUAGUGGACAUAGCCUACUUUAACCGAUCAAAUGCAGUUUGAGCUUGCUCUGUCCACUCAAAGCUUUUCUUCUUCAGUAAACUGGUCAAUGGUUGUGCCAAGAUGCCAUAGUUCUGCACAGAAUUUCUAUAGUAGCCAACGAGACCCAAAAACCCCCUGAGUUCAGUGACUGUAGUUGGCCUGGGCCAUUGUAACAUAGCAGUAGUUUUGGCAGGGUUAGUGGCCACCCCCUUAUCAGAAAUAGUGUGACCCAAAUAUUCCAGCUCCUGUUGAGCAAAAGAACAAUUGCUUAGUUUAGCAAGCAAUUGGUGUUCCCUUAAAACUGAGAGGACUACUUGGAGAUGUUGUUCCAAGUCUUCACUAAAUAUCAGAAUAUCAUCCAUGAAGACUAACACAAAUUUUCUAAUAAAUUUUGAAAAAAUAACAUUCAUCAAACAUUGAAAAGUAGCCGGAGCAUUUGUCAAUCCAAAAGGCAUAACUCUGAAUUGAUAUUGCCCUUGAUGUGUUUUGAAGGCAGUUUUUUCCUCAUCACUUUCCACCAUUCUUAUCUGAUGAUAUCCAGAUCUGGGAUCUAAUUUAGAAAACCAUUGGGCACCUGCUAGUUCAUCCAGUAAUUCAUCUACUACUGGCAAUGGAAACUUGCUCUUAACUGUCACUGAGUUCAGUUUUCUGUAAUCCACACAAAAUCUCCACAUUCCAUCUUUUUUCUUAACCAACAGGACAGGUGAUGCAUAUGGUGACAUGCUGGGUUUCACAAUUCCUGCCUGAAUCAUCUUGACUACUUGCCUAUCGAUCUCAUCUUUCUAUAAUGGUGAGUAUCUAUAGGGUCUGGAAUUCACAGGUGCACUGCUGGGCAGAAGAGAAAUGGCAUGAUCGAAUUCUCUGUGAGGGGGUAAUCCUUUAGGCUCUUGAAAAACAUCUUCAAAUGUUUUGAUAGUGUUCUGAAUGCAUUUUGGGACAACAGAAGGUUCCACCAUAGACAUUAUGGACAAUACAGCUGUGGCCCUCAUUGCCCUUCUGACAUUUUACCACUUGCUCCAUUGAUAUUUCUUUCAAGUUUGUAACUGGAGGAGUCUGCAUCCCUUGUAGUGUAACUGUUUUAUCUCCCAUCUGAAACUAAAUCCACUCCUCUUGCCAAUGACAGACCAUAGGGCUCCACUGAGACAACCAGUCCAUACCAAGUAUUGCAUCAUAUCCUCCCAUAGCCAAAACUUUCAUAUCAGUGGUAAAUGUGUGUCCCUGUAUCCACCAUUCCAAGCCCUGAAUGUGUUGUGUGCACUGAAGUUUUUCACCAUUUGCCACUUUGGCAGUUAGUGGUGUUGAUAGAUUCUGAGGUUUGUACUUAAGUUUGUCUGCUAGAUGCUGAUCAAUGAACGUAUGAGAAUUGGCUGAAUCCAACAGUAGAAGCAUGACUUGGUUUCCCACCAAUGCUCUCAAUCUGAUAGACUUAGUAUUGGUUGUGCCAGAAAGUGCAUUCACAGAUAAAUAAGCUACUGCUUCUUCUGCAGCCUCUUCCACCACAAUGGCAUUAAGAGGAGGGUCUGAUAGUUGCACUUGUUGUUCUACAGCUUCAAUUGAUUUGGCUUGGGCAGUUUGCUUGCUAGUACACAAAUGGCCAGAGCUAAAUUUUUCUACACAACUGUAACAUAGACCAUUCUGUCUCCUAUAGUCUUUGAGUUGUCUUGCUUUCCACAUAUCUCCUACAGAGAGCUGGGAUUUCCCACUAUAAUCUCCUUUGCUAGUACUUUGACAAAGUUGUAUUUGCUAGGUUUAUUAGCUUGUUGUUUUGCUCUUUCUAACAUGGCCUCUUGCACUAGAGCAUACUCC